CGCAUCUGUGCAUGCAGCAUAUCAAUAAGCGGAGGAAAAGAAACUAACAAGGAUUCCCCUAGUAACGGCGAGUGAAGCGGGAAGAGCUCAAAUUUGAAAUCUUAAAGGGUUUCCCUUUACGAAUUGUAGUUUAAAGAAGUGUUUUCUGUUGAGGUUUUGGUAAAAGUUCUUUGGAAUAGGACAUCAUAGAGGGUGAGAAUCCCGUAUUUGACCUUUACUUUCAACUUUGUGAUACACUUUCAAAAAGUCGGAUUGUUUGGGAAUGCAGUCCAAAAUGGGUGGUAAAUUUCAUCUAAAGCUAAAUAUUGGCGAGAGACCGAUAGCGAACAAGUACCGUGAGGGAAAGAUGAAAAGAACUUUGAAAAGAGAGUUAAACAGUACGUGAAAUUGUCAAAAGGGAAGCGUUUGACACCAGUGUUGUUUUUCUGAAAAUCAAUUAAAGAACUGUUUAUGCUAAGCUGUUUAGACAUUAUCAGCUAACUGUUUAGUUUUGAGCUUUUCUUUAAUGCACUUUUCAGUUAACAAGUCAACAUCAAUUUCUUUUGCUGUAAAAAAGCUUGAGGAAGGUGGCUUGAGAUUCGUCUUAAGUGUUUAUAGCCUCUUGCCUAUGCAGUCGGAGAGAUUGAGGUCUGCAGCGUAGAUCCUUCGGGGCUAAAUGCAUUUGUGCUAAGUUAUAGCUAUUUUAUAGACAACUUGUUGACUAUGAUUUGUCUUGUAGCUUACUCGCUUAUGUUAUUUUACCUACGCUUAGGAUGUUGAACGCGCACAGAGUCUC
rnacentral:rRNA from 1 species